UCGAGAGGCUUCGGCAAUGGGGGAAACCCUGACCGAGCGACGCCGCGUGAGGGAUGAAGGCCCUUGGGUUGUAAACCUCUUUUGUUGGGGAAGAAAUGCGAUCAGGUAAAUAAUCUGGUCGUUUGACGGUACCCGACGACUAAGCUCCGGCUAACUCCGUGCCAGCAGCCGCGGUAACACGGGGGGAGCAAGCGUUGUUCGGAAUCACUGGGCGUAAAGGGCGUGUAGGCGGUUCGGCAAGUGAAAUGUGAAAUCCCUCGGCUCACCCGAGGAUCUGCAUCUCAAACUGCCGGACUAGAGUAUGGGAGAGGACAAGGGAAUUCCUGGUGUAGCGGUGAAAUGCGUAGAUAUCAGGAGGAACACCGGUGGCGAAAGCGCUUGUCUGGCCCAAUACUGACGCUGAGGCGCGAAAGCUAGGGGAGCAAAC
rnacentral:rRNA from 1 species